rnacentral:rRNA from 1 species
UACGUAGGGGGCUAGCGUUGUCCGGAAUCAUUGGGCGUAAAGCGUGCGCAGGCGGUUCGGAAAGAAAGAUGUGAAAUCCCAGGGCUUAACCUUGGAACUGCAUUUUUAACUGCCGGGCUAGAGUAUGUCAGAGGGGGGUAGAAUUCCACGUGUAGCAGUGAAAUGCGUAGAGAUGUGGAGGAAUACCGAUGGCGAAGGCAGCCCCCUGGGAUAAUACUGACGCUCAUGCACGAAAGCGUGGGGAGCAAACAGG